GGCACCAUCACCACCAGCAGCCUCCUCCUCCUCCUCCCCAGCAUCACCAGCCGAACCUCCCUGCUCAGCCCAAUGGACUCCUGCCAGCCCAUCGCAGAGUUCUUGGCGCACCAAUGACUCGGGGACAAUCACUACUUAUUUCUAUCAAUAGAAAGUGUUGUGUCAAUAACGCAGCCAAGAUCUCGCCAAUCGUUAACUUCCAAGAGGAGAAGGUAAACUAGAUAAUUGCUCAAUUCGCUUCCAACAGUCAACAGGAAAACUUUUUUUUUCUUUGCAGUCAGUGACUACUUUUCAUUGGUGACUGAGGUUCCCCCGCCCAGAAGAGGCGGGGGCGCUCUCCGCAACUCCGCGCGCCCUCCCCUCCGCGCACACACUCUCAGGCGCGCACUUCGCUACCCUCCGCGCCCCCCCCCCUUUGCUUUUUCCUCUGUCUUUUUAAUUCUCAAUCUGCUUAACCAGGGUUUAGAGGCCAAGCAAAUCUGAGAUCAAUUUUCUCGUUUAGCUCUAAGUGACAUCAUCUAAAAUCAUUGUGCAAGGGCUAAAUAAGGAAACGGAGUCUAAUUCAGGGGCAAACGCCAGGCUAUAUUUAUCAAAUGCCAAGCUCCACAAAGCCGCGGCCGGGAAGCCUCCGGCUGCGAAAUCCUAAUUUUUCUUGCAUGGUUCCGCCCGGCUGGGUCUGGGCCCGGGUCAGGGCUCCUCUACAGCCCUCUUUCUUCCUCUAGGGCCCAGGGCUGAGCGCUUCCGGCAUCCCGGAGUCUCCGCCGCCAGAACCGAGUCUGGACCAUUUGGAAGACGCCAGCAGGUAAUUGGCCUCCCAAAACAUCCCUGAGAAUUCAAGGCCUUGGGAGGCUUGUUAUGUGUUUGUGGUUUGUAAACGUGAUGCUGAGACAUAAGCUUGCGAAAGACACACUCUAGCCACAAAGUUGAGGAGGAGUUGCAAGGAAUAAGCUGGUAUCACACCAAAAGAAACCUGGACGAGGGCCAGACCCUACCCCCGACACAAACACCCACGCGCACUCUUAUGCCUUUCCACUGAAAGCUGGGAAAGUGAAUUUCUUCUAAGUACUCUGAUAGAGCUCUCUUGGAGCAAUUUAAAUAGAAAUUAUCGAGCGGAAAAGGGAAACUAUUGAUUCCCUCCCUCAACCUCCCUACUGCUGGUGUCCGCACGCCUCCUCAAAUUAGCGCAGGCUGCAGCCAGGGUGUGUGUGCACCGCGGAGCGGCGAGCACUGCGACCUGCGGGGCGCGAGUCUUGGCCACAGCAACGCUUCCGCCUCCCAGAAAGAGAGCGGAAACCUUGCCUCUGCAACGCCCCCCAUCCAGGCCUCGGCCAAAACUCCCCGGGAGGAGCCGUAGAGCGUAAGGAGUGUUUCCGGAAGACACCAGAGGCUGCGACCCCGGCUGCGCGGGUUCUCGCCACCUAAGAGGGCGCCGCCCGGAGCGCGCCCGGAGCAGCGGCGAGCACCCUCCUUGUCGCUCCCCUUUGCAAGCCUGAGAUCGCGCGGAGCUUAGCCCUGUGACCAGGUGUGCCAGGGCCGGGCGUGCACCGGCAGCUGCGCAAGGAGGACUCGGCGGUCACGAGCCCGCGCCGGGACGAAGAGGAAAAGCGCAGAGGUGCCAGCUCAGGGCCUUGCAGCCUGCACGCCCCUGUGAAUGGCCUCCCGAAACAGCCCAGUUUACCAUCUACCUGGCCUGUGAGGUGUGAUCCCUUCAGACUACCAGGCUCCAACUCAGGGCUGGACUUGAUGGAAAAAGAAGUUUAUAAACAAGCAACCCAAUUUCUCCAAAUCAUUCGAGGAGCUGCCUAGAAGUCAAGCAACAGAACCCAGCAAAGUUUUGCUUGCGAUUUACAACGAUGUUGUUGAAACCUGGGAGGUGAACAAUUAGAAGACGACAGCCAAAAUAUGCUCUCUUGCCCUACGCUGAUAGCUGGUUAUGCAAUUGGCUGAUCAGCGUUUUGCAGCCGUCCCCAGAUCGUUGUUCAAAGUCAUUUUGUGGUUAAAAUAAAAACUACAUUCAACAGACA